rnacentral:rRNA from 1 species
AGCGAACGCUGGCGGCAGGCCUAACACAUGCAAGUCGAACGAACCUUUCGGGGUUUGUGGCGGACGGGUGUGUAACACGUGGGAACGUUCCCUUAGGUUCGGAAUAACUCAGGGAAACUUGUGCUUAUACCGAAUGUGCCCUUCUGGGGAAAGAUUAAUCGCCUUUAGAGCGGCCCGCGUCUGAUUAGCUAGUUGGUUGAGGUAAUGGCUCACCAAGGCGACGAUCAGUAGCUGGUCUGAGAGGAUGAUCAGCCACAUUGGGACUGAGACACGGCCCAAACUCCUACGGGAGGCAGCAGUGGGGAAUCUUGCGCAAUGGGCGAAAGCCUGACGCAGCCAUGCCGCGUGAAUGAUGAAGGUCUUAGGAUUGUAAAAUUCUUUCACCGGGGACGAUAAUGACGGUACCCGGAGAAGAAGCCCCGGCUAACUUCGUG